UGGGGUUGGGCUCAGUGGUAGAGUGCUCGCCUAGCAUGCAUGAGGCAGCUGGGUUCGAUCCUCAGAACCACAU
rnacentral:tRNA from 1 species